UGCAAGCUCAUCAAGCCUAACAUUAGGUUUGUCGGCAAACCAACAAUAUUUUAUUGGGAAGGCCAUAUUUCUUUUAUCUAGAGCAGUGUGAAUGAAGUCCAUGAGUAUUUGAUAAGCUUUAAAAUAGAUAUAUUCUCACCUCAAUAUAUAUAUCAUGUGGGUAAGGACUCCAAGUGAUCACGAUGUUGUUGUUUCUCCUCGGUGCUGCAGUGUGUCUUGGGCUUAGUAAUCACUCUUCGGUGCCAAGGUCAAUCAGAUAGUGCAUAGUUGAUAAAUAAAGUGCCGUGAUAAUAGGGCUUGAGUAUUUGUAACUGAAACUGAACCAUGAGUGUCAAGCCUCCACA
rnacentral:lncRNA from 1 species